rnacentral:rRNA from 1 species
GACAGAGGGUGCAAACGUUGUUCGGAAUUACUGGGCGUAAGCGCGUGUAGGCGGCUCUGCAAGUCGGGUGUGAAAUCCCACGGCUCAACCAUGGAAGUGCACUCGAAACUGCAGGGCUAGAGUCCUGGAGAGGAAGGUGGAAUGCUUGGUGUAGAGGUGAAAUUCGUAGAUAUCAAGCGGAACACCGGUGGCGAAGGCGGCCUUCUGGACAGUGACUGACGCUGAGACGCGAAAGCGUGGGGAGCAAACAGG